GCUCCUCCCUCCUGCCCGGCGCUGCCCGGGGAGGCUCCUCCCUCCUGCCCGGUGCUGCCCGGGGAGGCUCCUCCCUCCUGCCCGGCGCUGCCCGGGGAGGCUCCUCCCUCCUGCCCGGUGCUGCCCGGGGAGGCUCCUCCCUCCUGCCCGGCGCUGCCCGGGGAGGUUCCUCCCUCCUGCCUGGCGCUGCCCGGAGAGGCUCCUCCCUCCUGCCCGGCACUCUGCAGCCUUUCAGAAGCCUGGCAGCCACACGCCUCAUGCAGUUGUGGGCACGGGUGUCUGUGUGGUUGGGGAGUGGGUUUUCUAGAGCUGCUCGGCUCUCUGGGACGGGUGCCGCUGGCCCUGUGGCCAUAGACUGCCCGGGGGUCUUGGGCCACGUCCUGCCAGAAGGCCGGGGGCUGCUGUAUUCGCCCCGGGGCCAAGGUGGCACCUCCAGCUGUUACCCGGUGGGCUCCUCUCUUCUCACGUCGCCGUUGCCAUUCUGUGGCUGGUCCCGUCUCCGGGCCCAUCCCUGGUGGGUGUGGCGGGACCGGAGGAAGGGCCCAGGCCGGAGCCCAAGGCCAGCGGCUUCCCUCCUCACUGCCUGCCCAGACAAACUCACGUUGUAGCUUUUUGUGCCGCUGAAGAGGAGGGGGCCCGCCUCAGCCGAAGCACAGGGCGGCCGGGGGAGCCGGCUCUUGGUGAGAGAGACCCCGGGGAGGUCCCCAAUUGUGCCUCUCCCCUCCUUAAUCCCUUGGUGUCUUUGUCACUGGCCAAGCUGGAACUGUGUUUUUCAUUGCUGUGAAACAUGAGAUUUCAAACCAGUCCCUCUUUAAAGCAUGAGAAAAAAAAUAAAGGUUAUUUAAGUAAGUAA